CCUACGGGAGGCAGCCGUAGGGAAUCUUCCACAAUGGGCGAAAGCCUGAUGGAGCCACGCCGCGUGGGUGAAGAAGGUCUUCGGAUCGUAAAACCCUGUUGUUAGAGAAGUAAGUGCGUGAGAGUAACUGUUCACGUUUCGACGGUAUCUAACCAGAAAGCCACGGCUAACUACGUGCCAGCAGCCGCGGUAAUACGUAGGUGGCAUGCGUUAUCCGGUUUUAUUGGGCGUAAAGGGAGCGCAGGCGGUCUGUUAAGUCUGAUGUGAAAGCCGUCGGCUUAACCGGAGUAGUGCAUUGGAAACUGGGAGACUUGAGUACAGAAGAGGGGGGUGGAACUCGAGGUGUAGCGGUGAAAUGCGUAGAUAUAUGGAAGAACACCGGUGGCGAAAGCGGCUCUCUGGUCUGUAACUGACGCUGAGGUUCGAAAGCGUGGGUAGCAAACAGGAUUAGAUACCCCGGUAGUC
rnacentral:rRNA from 1 species